GAUGAACGCUGGCGGCGUGCCUAAUACAUGCAAGUCGAGCGAACGGACGAGAAGCUUGCUUCUCUGAUGUUAGCGGCGGACGGGUGAGUAACACGUGGAUAACCUACCUAUAAGACUGGGAUAACUUCGGGAAACCGGAGCUAAUACCGGAUAAUAUUUUGAACCGCAUGGUUCAAAAGUGAAAGACGGUCUUGCUGUCACUUAUAGAUGGAUCCGCGCUGCAUUAGCUAGUUGGUAAGGUAACGGCUUACCAAGGCAACGAUGCAUAGCCGACCUGAGAGGGUGAUCGGCCACACUGGAACUGAGACACGGUCCAGACUCCUACGGGAGGCAGCAGUAGGGAAUCUUCCGCAAUGGGCGAAAGCCUGACGGAGCAACGCCGCGUGAGUGAUGAAGGUCUUCGGAUCGUAAAACUCUGUUAUUAGGGAAGAACAUAUGUGUAAGUAACUGUGCACAUCUUGACGGUACCUAAUCAGAAAGCCACGGCUAACUACGUGCCAGCAGCCGCGGUAAUACGUAGGUGGCAAGCGUUAUCCGGAAUUAUUGGGCGUAAAGCGCGCGUAGGCGGUUUUUUAAGUCUGAUGUGAAAGCCCACGGCUCAACCGUGGAGGGUCAUUGGAAACUGGAAAACUUGAGUGCAGAAGAGGAAAGUGGAAUUCCAUGUGUAGCGGUGAAAUGCGCAGAGAUAUGGAGGAACACCAGUGGCGAAGGCGACUUUCUGGUCUGUAACUGACGCUGAUGUGCGAAAGCGUGGGGAUCAAACAGGAUUAGAUACCCUGGUAGUCCACGCCGUAAACGAUGAGUGCUAAGUGUUAGGGGGUUUCCGCCCCUUAGUGCUGCAGCUAACGCAUUAAGCACUCCGCCUGGGAAGUACGACCGCAAGGUUGAAACUCGAAGGAAUUGACGGGGACCCGCACAAGCGGUGGAGCAUGUGGUUUAAUUCGAAGCAACGCGAAGAACCUUACCAAAUCUUGACAUCCUUUGACAACUCUAGAGAUAGAGCUUUCCCCUUCGGGGGACAAAGUGACAGGUGGUGCAUGGUUGUCGUCAGCUCGUGUCGUGAGAUGUUGGGUUAAGUCCCGCAACGAGCGCAACCCUUAAGCUUAGUUGCCAUCAUUAAGUUGGGCACUCUAAGUUGACUGCCGGUGACAAACCGGAGGAAGGUGGGGAUGACGUCAAAUCAUCAUGCCCCUUAUGAUUUGGGCUACACACGUGCUACAAUGGACAAUACAAAGGGCAGCGAAACCGCGAGGUCAAGCAAAUCCCAUAAAGUUGUUCUCAGUUCGGAUUGUAGUCUGCAACUCGACUACAUGAAGCUGGAAUCGCUAGUAAUCGUAGAUCAGCAUGCUACGGUGAAUACGUUCCCGGGUCU
rnacentral:rRNA from 1 species